AGCCACAUUCGGGCUUGCGACAGGCCUCGGUCUUGAAAACCGGUAUGGCGGGUGACCGUCAUCGUGGGUUCGAAUCCCACGCCCU
rnacentral:tRNA from 1 species